rnacentral:snRNA from 2 species
AUACCUUUCUCGGCCUUUUGGCUAAGAUCAAGUGUAGUAUCUGUUCUUAUCAGUUUAAUAUCUGAUAUGUGAGUCAUUGACUCACACGAUAUUAACUCUAUUUUUUUUAAGGGGAAGGUCCAUCACGAUAGCUUGCUAUUGGGACUUUCAAGUGUCGCCUUGGUGUUGCACUAUUGCCUUGGCCUGGCACACCCCAC